rnacentral:snRNA from 1 species
AUUAGAAAUAAGUGCUAAAAUGGUAACAAUCCAGACGUGGUUAGCCUGGCCCCUCGGUGAGGAAGACACAUAAAUUCGAGAGGUGUUCCAUAUUUUU